AGAGAUAGCCCUGGACAGAACUCUGACAGCAGGUAAGAGCAUUCUGGUACAUUUUUUCCCCUCUCCAGCGCCCAAAGCACUCAGCAAAAUGAUGCUUCGCGCCCGGAACAUCAUCGGUGGCAUGAGGGCUUUUGCAUCUCCAGUCGCGGCCAGGAACUUGUGCGGUUCUCCUCUCGGUGCAAAAUGGCUCAGCACGCAACCCUCCCGUGCUAAAAGUGUCGAUCUUCCGUCUGAGGCUGAUGCUGUUGUAAUAGGUGGUGGAGUGAUGGGUUGUUUCACCUUGUACCAGUUAGCACGUCUAGGCUGCUCUCCUCUUCUCCUGGAGAGAUCCCAACUUACUAGCGGCACGACAUGGCACACUAAUGGAUUGUUGUGGAGUAUACGUCCUGGCGACGUAGACACAGCCAUCCUAAACAUUACCAGAUCCGCUGUACUCGAAAUCGAGAAGGAAGAGCCUGCAGGCUGGACUACCAAUGGCGGCCUUUUCAUCGCAAACAACAUGACUCGCCUCGAAGAAUACUCGCGGCUCUACACGCUGGGACGAACGGUCGGGGUUCCGUGUGAGCUUCUGGGCCCCCGCGAAGUGUCCCUUUUGUACCCGAUGAUGGAGGUUAGCGACGUGACGGGAGCCCUCCACAGCCCUGGUGACGGCACACUGGACCCCUCGACGUUGUGUAGGGCCCUCGUCAACCGAGCCAAGCUUCAUGGGGCCAAGGUGUGUGAAAACGUAGGCGUGACAAACAUUGAGACGGAGGAAGGCAUGGGCGGCAGAAAGACGAUCAGAUCCAUCACCACCACUGUGGGUCGAGUAAAGACUGACGUGGUCAUUAAUUGCGCAGGAGUAUGGAGUCCUGAUAUCCUGAAAAUGGCCGGCAGCGAAGAGGUACUCCCUGUAGUGGCCAUGAAGCACAGCAUGGUGGCCAUGGACGCAAUACCCGGCGUGAGAAAGUUACCUAAUGUGCGAGACCACGACGCGAACAUGUGUCUCAGGGUGCAAGGCGAUUCGCUUAUCAUCGGGGGCUACGAGCUUAAUGCACCUCGCUGGGAGAAGGUAGACCCCCAGUUCGCCUUCGGUCUCUUCGACUUCGACAUGAACGCCUUCAGUGAGAUAAUGGAAGGCGCUGUCCACCGGGUUCCUCAACUGGCUCAAACGGGCAUCAAAGCCACCAUCUGCGGUCCGGAGGCCUUCACGCCCGACAGGAAACCUUUAAUUGGCGAGGACGCGGAGGUGACGGGGAUGUACCACGGGUCGGGCUUCAACAGCUCCGGCAUGAUGAUGUCGGGGGGGUGCGCGGAACAGCUGGCGCAGUGGGUGGUGCAUGGGAGGCCAGCGCUCGACAUGACCGCGUAUGACUGUCGACGGUUUUCAAGUCGGGUCCGUCGCCAGCCGCAGUGGGCAUGGGAAAAGAGUCACGAGUCCUACGUUAAGAAUUAUUCCAUAGUGUUCCCCCGAGAUCAACCUUUAGCAGGACGGCGGGCUAUUACAGACCCUCUCUUUCCGACACUGACUGAUGCCGGAUGCUUCUGGGAGGAGGCGAAGGGCUGGGAGCGCCCCGCCUUCUUCACAGGGACCGCGACGCCGCUCCUUGACUACGACUGGCGAGGGGCGUUUGACUGCACAUAUCGCGAACACUAUCCUUACAGAGACAUUCUGCAGCAGUCACAUACUUUUAAUCUCCCAAAAUACUAUAAACAGAUAGAGCAUGAAUACCUCGCCAUGAGAGACGAUUCAGCCGUCAUCAAUCAGUCAUCAUCAGGGAAGAUGCUGCUCUCCGGGACGGACGCUGAGAGGGCCGUCGACUGGUUGUUUGCCAGCGACGUCGAACGAGUGCCUGGCUUUGUGACAUCUUCCCUUGUCCUAAACACGGAAGGAGGCGUGGAAGCUGAUGUCACAGUUUACACUUUGGAUCCAGAUACCAGACUAGAGUGUGAAGGCGAGGCUAAGUACUUGGUAACGUGCGGCAGCGGGAUGGAGCCAAUCGUCAGUCGUCUGUUGAGGGACUUGUGCUGGAAACAAGGCUUUAGUACUUCCAUUAAGCCCAUCACUCACGAAACUGGUAUUCUAACCUUGUAUGGACCCAACAGUCUACAGGUACUAAGCGCGACGGACAUCGACACGAUGGCCAUUCAUCCAAACCGCCACCAGCUCGUCAGUCUCGCAGGGACGCAAGUACGUGUGUGCGAACGGUCGGAUGUGUGCUGGGAGAUCCAUGCAAAGGUCGAGGAACUUAUAGCUGUCUACGAGGCGCUUACGACUCUCAGCGACAAGUACAGGCUCGUCAACGCUGGCUACUACGCACUUAAUAUCAUCGGCUUAGAGCAAGGGAGCUGCAGCUGGAACUCAGAUAUCCGGAGGGGCGACACUCCCCUUGAAGCGGGUGUGUGGAGGCCUGGCCAGAACGAGGGCGAAGGCCAACGCCAGUUCUUGGGGCGGCCUGCACUUUUGCGCCAGGCGGCCGAGGGUGUGACCAAGUCCAGGGUCCUACUAGAGCUGCCAGGUCAUCUAUGUUCAGGUGUCCGCCGCUGUGGGGUGGCGAGGCCAUCGUGAGGGACGGUGCCAUUGUCGGCGGAGUUCGAAGGGCCGACCACAGCUUCGAGUGCGGGUGUCCGUUGGCCUCGGGAUACGUGGCGCAUGCGAGGACAAACGCCCAGACUGCGCGCUUGCUCUUCCAGACUAGUAGAUGGGAAGUAGAAAGAAUGGGGGAACGUUUCCCUGCAGUCCUUCGAGAGUUUUAAAAAGUCUUCAGUAAGAAUAUUUCAGCAUAGCAAUCAUUACUGUGAUUACUAAUUGCACUUCUCAUUGUCUGGGUGUGCAUGUAUGUGCAUGCAUAUCCAUAUAUGUGUACUGAUAUGUUCAGAAAUAAGCUAGGUUCACAUGUAUUUUUAGAGUGAAUUUAUAUAAAAAUACACCAACCCUUCAUAAAUAAAAUAUAAGCAUCAC